ensembl:lncRNA
UCAGUCAGUAUCCCUUCAGAAAUUUAUUUUUUUUUUAAGUUUAUGUAUUUAUUUUGAAAAAGAGAGACAGUGGGGGAAGGGCAGAGAGAGAGGGAGAGAGAGAUAAUGCUAAGCAGGCUCUGAACCAUCAAAGCAAAGCUUGAUGUGGGGUCGUAACUCAUGAACUGUGAGAUCAUGACCUGAUCCAAAGACAAGAGUUGGAUGAUAAACCAACUGAGCCACCCAGGCAUCCACUUUGGAUAUGUAUUUGUCUCCAAUCACACAUAUAUGAGAUCAUCUGCAAUUGUCUCCUAGAUCUCAGAUGUUCUUUUCUGGCUUUUUUUUUUUUUUUAAAUUUUUCCUCUGCACAUAAGUUUGACUCAUGUUUAGGUUCAGUGAACUUUUUAGUCUCAGUAGAAAGCCUAGGGUGUUGACCAAGGUGUCUCUCUUCUGGGUGGUCAAAACUCCAAAGUGUCCUUGCCCCUGUAUAACCUCAGAAAUGCCUGUUACCCCUUGGCCACCAGCGGCUGCCCUCUGGCAGGCCACCUGAGUCUUGCUCGGUGGCUGCACAGUUUAAGAUCCUGCCAAGGAUGGAAUCUUCCAAGACUUCUGGGGCUCCUCAGCAGCUGCCUCCUCUCAGGUACCCUGACCCACAAUCCCACAUAGUUUAGUGGCUCCAUCACCGUUCCUUUCCCCCAACCAGACCUGGCUCUGCACUGCCUCUGCUGCCAUUUGGAAAAUGCCCCAGGGAGAAACCCAGGAUGGCACUAAACUCUGUACUUCUCUCCUACACCAGUUGCUUCCUGUGUGGGAUGCUACCCAGCCCCUGAGAGGAGUCACAGCACAUACUUCAUCCACUUUCAUCGCUGUUCACUGUCAUACCAGCAACUCUGUCAUCGUCAAGAUUGCAAGUCUGCAUCAGUGAGUCUACACCUAUAAACUGCAUUGGAAAAUUCACCAUCAAGAACCCAUAGUGGGAGAAAGAAAUGAAACAAAAUGGAAUUCAGGUAAAAUAUAUAAAUAUAUGUACUUGAGAAAAUAAGGAAGGGAUUUCUGGUAGAGGCUAUGCUUUUAGGCAAGAGAUCAUGGAGCUGUAGCUGGCUGGUAUUGUUACUUUCUCGCUCUCCUACCCAGUUUACUUACACCUUCAUUUCUUUUUUUUUUAUGUUUAUUUAAUUUUGAGAGAGAGAGAAAGAGAGAGAGAGAGAGAGAGAGAGAGCAUGAGCAGGGGAGGGGCAGAGAGAGAGGGAGAUACAGAAUCUGAAAGCAGGCUCCAGGCUCUGAGCUGUCCGCACAGAGCCUGAUGUGGGGCUUGAACUCCUGAGCUUUGAGAUCAUGACCGGACUUUAAUCAACUGAGCCACCCAGGCACUUCUUUGCACCUUCAUUUCUGAGAGAUGCGAGCCCCUGGCCAUCUUUCCUGUAUAGCACCACAGUAGUUUUCUAUGACCUUCUGCUAUUAGGCAUGGUAAUAUGAGGACAUCAUCUGGGUUUCAUCCAUAUUCCUCUCCAGCUAUAGUGUCCAAAAAUGUCUCUAUGUUUCCUUGAUAAUUAUGAUCAAUAAUUACAGUCAACACUGUGACCUCCUUUUAUGUCUAUUUAACUUAGUGGCUUGAAGAACCCCAAAUGGCCAUGUUCCAAUUCAGUGGAAUCAUUGCUGCGUCUCCUGAUAGAAGCAUUACUCCGUCAUGAUCCUACGUAUGCACUGGGCCAAUGUAAUCAUUGACUUGUGAGUUAGUGGAAUGGUAAAGUUCCCCAUAAAUAAAUUGUGGCACACAUCCA